rnacentral:rRNA from 1 species
UACGGAGGAUGCAAGCGUUAUCCGGAUUUAUUGGGCGUAAAGCGUCCGCAGGUGGUUUUCCAAGUCUGCUGUUAAAGCGCGAGGCUUAACCUCGUACAGGCAGUGGAAACUGGAUGACUAGAGUAUGGUAGGGGUAGCGGGAAUUCCCAGUGUAGCGGUGAAAUGCGCAGAUAUCGGGAAGAACACCCGUGGCGAAGGCGGUUCUCUGGGACGGUACUGACGCUGAGACGCGAAAGCGUGGGGAGCGAACAGG